rnacentral:lncRNA from 1 species
CACACAUUUGACCCUCCUUUCUUUAAGACCCCCAUGCUUCCACCCAUCACUCCCUCCUCCACCAUUUUCCUCCCUCUCUCUCUCUCUCCAUCCUCACCACCACCACCACCACCACCACCACCACCAAAACCAAACACUAACAAUUAAUCACUCCCACCUCCUCCUAAUCCACUGUAACCACCAUUUUUUUCUUUCCCCUCUCUCUUCUUUAUUUCCAUCAUUUAUCAUCCUCAAAACCACCACCUCCCCCACCCAACAACAAAACA